AUAAGGAAUGCUUCCAGCCCAGCCACCUCAGCCAUCAUCCUAGGAAGGACCUCUGGUGGACACUGCUCACUGCUCCUUCUCCUGCCCAGGCUGCAGCCACAGCUACCAGAAAUUCAGAAAGGAAAGUUCUUGAAACCAAAGUCCUUGGUGCUGAUCCAAUGGUUUAAGCUCAGAAAUGGAAGACUUUUUCAUAAAAAUGAUUUUAAAGAAGAAGCCUGACCACCUGCUUUGCUGCUGCCCCAAAGGACUAUGGGACUUUUCCAUCUGACUUGAAGAUGAAACCCCUAGGGGCUGGGACCUACUGAGUCUUGUUUGUAGUCCCAGAUCUUAGUGCUGUGCUUGGCACAUACUAAGUACGUAAUAAAUG